CCCCCGAGUUGGUCACGACUGGACCUAAUGGUCAGGGGUCCCUUUACCUUUACCUAACCCUAUGCAUAUCUAUCCAGACUACGUCCCACUGCGUUCAAUGUGGCUUACUCCCAGAUAAAACUGCACAGGACUGCAGCCAUGAGGGUUUGUGUUAUAUUUGUUUUUAUAUCAAGCCAAAGAAUCCGGCAACUGAGCAAAUAUUCUCUUUUUCCCCUAGGGUCCAAGGCAAGCAGCAAGAACAAGACAUUCGUCGAGCCUUUAGGAAGUGGUGAGAAGUGGAGGCUGGUCCAUUAGGACCCCACAAAUCUCAGCCUGCCUUUAGCCCUUCUUUCCAAUGUGGGAAGAAAGAAGAAGGAUUGCUUGUGACAUGUUGAAGAAAUUUUUCACUGUAGUAUAUGCAGAUGAAAUGUGAUGCGGAGGAGCGGAAGAGGAAGAUGUGAAAGAACAAUGCAUAGCUUUCUUUUCAUCAGUUCCCAUGGCUGACCUCAAAAAUAGCAGAGCACUAAGCUCUUUGAGACAUGCAUUUAAUCCACCACAUUAUAAUUACUUCUGUCUUAUCUGGCUUAGGUGUUCCUUUCUGUGAUUCACAUCUUUUUUUCUUUCUAAUUUGCUUCUGACCUUCUAUAUGAAUAUGACUAUGUUCCUUACUUUAUAUUACUCAAGCAGAUUGUUGUGUAUUUCUUGACUCCAUCUACAGUUUUGUUCAUGCAAUAACUAUGAAUAAUGUAUAUUCAUGAAGCCAAUGUUGUAAAUACCUUUGUAGCGAAAAAUUACAGAGAAAAUGUGUAAUUUACCUUCCAUCCUAAAAGUCUUUGAAACAGAAGGAAAUGACUGUGCUUUUUCAAUUCCAUUUCCAUAAGCAGAAAAAAUAUCAUUUACACUAAGCAGAUUAAAAUCUGAAUCUUGA